GUAGGUGGCAAGCGUUGUCCGGAAUUAUUGGGCGUAAAGCGCGCGCAGGUGGUUCUUUAAGUCUGAUGUGAAAGCCCCCGGCUCAACCGGGGAGGGUCAUUGGAAACUGGGGAACUUGAGUGCAGGAGAGGAAAGUGGAAUUCCACGUGUAGCGGUGAAAUGCGUAGAUAUGUGGAGGAACACCAGUGGCGAAGGCGACUUUCUGGCCUGUAACUGACACUGAGGCGCGAAAGCGUGGGGAGCAGACAGGGAUUAGAUACCCUGGUAGUCCACGCCGUAAACGAUGAGUGCUAAGUGUUGGGGGGGUUUCCCGCCCCUCAGUGCUGCAGCUAACGCAUUAAGCACUCCGCCUGGGGAGUACGGUCGCAAGACUG
rnacentral:rRNA from 1 species